rnacentral:lncRNA from 1 species
AACCAACCACCUUAAACUGACUUAACAAAAAAAACAACAAAUGUGUUAGAGUUCAACACUUUUUCAAAACCUCUUUUUCAUUUUUUUUUUGAAAAGAUCACCGAACCCAAGAAGAGAGCCUAUGUAUAUCACUCCCGAGAUAGGAGAAUCAGGUGUGCGUUGUUCGUGAAGUCUUGCCAAAAUGGCCAACUAAACUAUUUUUCCUUUAUUUUUUUUUCUUGAAACUUUAAAAAGAAAAGGAAAUAACAAAUUGUCAAAAGAAUUGACGAAAAUCUUUUUGUAUUUUUCAAGUUUAAACUCCCUAUACAAAAUGAAACCUAUGAUUACCAAAGAAAAAUCUUUUUGAGUUUUCGAUUUUGAAUUUCAUAUGAAAAUGAAACUUGAACCUAUUAAAGGAAAAAUCUUUCUUAAAGUUUUCUUUUAAAGAUGUAUAUGAAACACCUACUCUAAUAAAGAGUGAAGAAAAUCUUUCUUUUUUUUUAAUUUUUCAAAUAAGAUCCCCGAACCAACAAUAGACUGCCUACGUAUCUCACUCCCGAGAGAGGAGAAUCAGGGGUGCAUAGUUCGUCCAGAUUGGACAAAUAAGGAUUAAAGAAUUAACUAAACCUUGACUUGAGAGACACAACUACAACGACGAAAAUAAAAUCUUUUUGGGGAUUUUCACUUUGACACUCCACAUAAAACUGACACCAACAACUAUGAAAGAAAAAAUCUUUUUGAUAUUUUCAUUACAUGAAAUGUACAAAACUUCUACUACCUUUUUUUUGAAUUUUUCUUUUAUAAAAAGCUCCUAAAAAAAUCGUUUUGAAGUUUUCGAAUUGUGAAUGCUUGCUAAAUGAAACAAAAGGAAAAUCUUUUUGAUGUUUUCAUAGGCUAGCGAGGAAGGAGGCGAAGUCAGCAGUCACGGCAGCUAAGACGGCCGCUUUUGAGAGCUUGUAUGUAGGGUUACAGGAGAAAGGAGGGGAGAAAAAGUUGUUUAGACUCGCUAAGGCUAGGGAGAGGAAGGGUCGUGACCUCGAUCAGGUGAGGUGCAUUAAGGGGAAGGACGGUAGAGUGUUGGUGGAGGACGGCCACAUUAAGAAGAGAUGGCAAUCGUAUUUUCAUAGGCUCUUGAAUGACGAAGGGGAUAGAGCUAUUGUGUGGAUUUUAGCUAUUGUAGACGUUUUAAGGUAGACGAGGUUAGACAGGCAGUCCGCAGGAUGCGAAGGGGUAGGGCGACGGGGCCGGAUGAGAUACCGGUGGAGUUUUGGAAGUUCGUUGGAGAGGCUGGUGUAAGGUGGUUGACUGCAUUGUUCAAUGAAAUUUUCAGGACGGCAAAGAUGCCCGAGGCGUGGAGGUGGAGUUCCAUGGUCCCUCUCUAUAAGAAUAAGGGGGACAUUCAGAGUUGCAAUAACUAUAGGGGGAUUAAGUUAUUGAGUCACUCUAUGAAGAUCUGGGAGAGAGUAGUCGAGGUGAGGCUGAGACGGAUAGUGUCUAUUUCGGAAAACCAGUUCGGAUUUAUGCCCGGCCGCUCGACGACGGAGGCAAUUCACCUGGUACGGAGGUUGGUGGAACAGUAUAGGGAGAGGAAGAAGGAUCUGCACAUGGUGUUCAUCGACCUGGAAAAGGCGUACGACAAAGUCCCAGGGAAGUGCUUUGGAGAUGCUUGGAGGUGAGUGGAGUACCGCAGGCAUAUAUCAGAGUAAUUAAGGAUAUGUAUGAGGGAGCGAAAACCCAGGUGAGGACGGCGGGAGGAGACUCAGAGCAUUUCACUGUCCUGACAGGAUUGCACCAGGGAUCUACUCUUAGUCCCUUUUUGUUUGCGUUAGUAAUGGAUGUGUUGACGCGGCGUAUCCAAGGGGAGGUGCCGUGGUGUAUGCUUUUUGCAGACGAUGUAGUCCUGAUAGAUGAGACUCGAGGGGGUGUGAAUGACAAAUUAGAGUUGUGGAGGCAAACUCUGGAGUCUAAAGGGUUCAGGGUGAGCAGAACCAAGACAGAGUAUGUGGAAUGUAAGUUUAAUGACGUGAGGCGGGAGAAUGAGGUAGUAGUGAGGCUAGAAGCACAGGAGGUAGGGAAGAGGGAUAAGUUCAAGUAUCUCGGGUCCGUGAUCCAGAGUAACGGUGAGAUUGACGAGGAUGUCUCGCACCGUAUUGGGGCGGGAUGGAUGAAGUGGAAACUCGCAUCGGGGGUGCUGUGUGAUAAGAAGGUGCCGCCCAAGCUUAAAGGCAAAUUCUAUAGGGUGGUAGUCCGUCCGGCCUUGCUGUAUGGAGCGGAGUGUUGGCCAGUUAAGAACUCCCACAUCCAAAAAAUGAAGGUGGCAGAAAUGCGGAUGUUGCGCUGGAUGUGUGGACUGACCCGAGGGGAUAGAGUUCGGAAUGAGACUAUCCGGGAGAAGGUUGGUGUGACUUCAGUGGAGUGUAAGAUGCGGGAAGCACGAUUGAGAUGGUUCGGACACGUGAAGAGGAGGGGCACGGAUGCCCCGGUCCGUAGGUGUGAGAGGCUAGCGUUGGAUGGUUUUAGACGGGGUAGGGGUAGACCGAAGAAGUACUGGGGUGAGGUGAUUAGGCGGGACAUGGAACAGUUACAGCUCACCGAGGACAUGACCCUAGCAUGUUUUAUUACGAAUCUGUGUGCUUUCCUCUGCUUUCCUCUGUUUUAUAUUACUUAUGGGUGCCGUAUUUAUGUUAUGUAAUCGGCUUCUAUGCUUUACUAUGUGUUUGUGUGGUAUCUCGUGCCUUGAGCCGGGGGUCUAUCGGAAACAACCUUUCUACUUCAUCAGAGGUAGAGGUAUGGACUGCAUACAUCUUACCCCCCAGACCCCACUAGGUGGGAAUACACUGGGUUUGUUGUUGUUGUUGUUGUUGUUAUUUUUGAAAAAUAAGUGCAAAAAGUAAAAAAAAGUCUUUUUUUUUUUAAUUUUUGAAUCGUGGAAAACAAAAGUCAUAAAGAACUCUAAAAACUACAAAACUCUCUUUUUUUCUUUUCGACUCACUUUUCACUUUUUUUUUAAUAUUUUUUUCUCAACAUUUCUUGCCUAUGCACUUUACUUCUAACACAUGUUUUCUCCAAAUCAGUCCAUCAAAUGACCAUGUUACCCUCCAAGAUGCAACAUUUAGCACAUAGGGAUGAUUUAGAGGUGAGUGUCCUACAAAGGACCACAUGGGUCCCGCUAGGUCUCAAUAUGAUGUGGAUAAGCAUGACCUAAAGGCUGACCUACGCUAGGGUUUACUAACAAGGUUGUUCAGGGGGGCAUAUAGUCGAUAGUGGCUGCUUUACUUUCCACCCACUCCAUACGUCCGACGGCUCCCUCUCCUAAAAUAAGGGUGACUCAACUAGAGUUUGUAUACACGACGUGCACUCCAGGACUUGUUGCAGAAAUAAUUGAGACUCAACUAGAGUUUGUAUACACGACGUGCACUCCAGGACUUGUUGCAGAAAUAAUUGACUCGGGUUAAGCACAUGAUGCCAGAUAUAAAACGGUAACAUAUAGGAGAAAAAAUGUAAACACGUAGCAUGUAAGCACUCAACAAUGAUAAAAUAAACACAAACAGUAAUACAAACAAUGUUUAUACACUCAUAAUGUCAAACUAAGCCGAUACAACUCCAAAAAUAAACUCGAAUUCUGAAAAACUCCCCAGCAGAGUCGCCAGAGCUGUUACACCCCUUUUUAACUCCAAAAAAGAUUAUUUUUAUGGGUUUCAAAAGGGUUUUAUUUAUUAAAUUGACAAAAAUGAGGAUUUGUUUCGAAAAAGGUUAAUUUAUAUUUUUUAUUCAGAGUCGCCACUUGACAUAAUCCGGUGUGCCAAGACACCUUUGGAGAAUCCUUUUCGAAAUGAUUUGACUCUUUAAAAAAUCGGUUUGUGAACAAAGAUUCCGACUAAGGAAUUCUGUUGACCGAGGGGGAUGGUGUUAGGCAUCCCUCGAUCUCAUGGUUCGACCACGGUCGCUUGGUGGAGCAUAUCAGCUAAUUUGACAUUACAAAUGUACAAACCACACAAAAACACACAAACAAUCAAUCAAACACAUGAAACAAAACAAAUCCAAAAUAUAGUGUUCAGUCCAAUUAUACAGUUCAAAAUAAAAAAUGCGAAAAAAUAAAUCCUAUUCUAACCUACACUAAUCCUGAACUAUGCUCCAGUGCUUUACCCGAUGCCUCGGGCCUUCAUCACGGGCGUCCUUCGAGUACAAAAUACUGUGGGUUAUUCCCCAACAAAUAAACAAAAAUACCUCGGGGCAUUUUCCGGCCAAAUAAUACAUUUGAUCCAAAAGCAAUAAAAUCAAGCCAUUCAACACAUGUUUCGAGCAUUCAACAUUCCACAAUUCCUAAAAUUUGCCAACCCGAACCUACUAUUUGCCUACCCAACUCGACCUAUCAUGGAACUAUCACGAUCGACGACGUCAAUGAAUCAAAACAACAAAAAAAUUAAAAUUAAUCCUAAUUCACUUUAGCAAUUUUUCAAUUCCGCACCAAAUUCAUUCUCAACCAAUGAUUAACACAUGCAUCGAUUAUCAAUUCAUUUUUCAACAUUCAAAUCCAACAUCAACCAAUACACAAUCAAGAUUCAAACAUAACAACACAUAAAUCAUUCACGAUUACGUAAAAAUUAAAAAAAGAAAAGAUAGAAUUAGACCUCAGUGCUUUCAAAAAUCAAUGUAUUAUUUCGAUCAACCCGGUAGAAUCCGCGUCCGAAAUCCUCGAACAAAACCCCCAAUCACGAUCAAGAAUCCAACUCGGUAUCAAGAAAGUGAAGCCCAAAAUUGAUUACGGUGAAUUGAUCAGGACGAAACAAAAUCUAAAUCCCAAAAUCAGUUCGAAGACAGAUGAGCUAAGACCAAAAUUGCAACAGACUAAAUCGAACCCGUUAAAAUUCUCAGCAAACGAACUCACAACUUGAACAAAAAAAAACCCCAAAACCCGAACUAACCCGAACAAUCCCACUAAACCAUUUCAAUUUUUAUCAUUUUUCGACGAAAAUUGGUCAGAAUAAACUGAAACGGCUCAAAUUUUUAUGGAUUAGAUGGAUGACUUACCUUUCGACGAGAUUCGGACGAAAAACCGGGAUCGGGACUGACUUCUUGAUGUGAGUAUGGUUGGAACGAGAUUAGCGGAGCUUUCUCGGUGGCGAUUCUAGUGAGUCACCGGCGAGAACUUCGCCGGAAGGCAGUCCAACGGCCUCUAUGUCUCUCUCUCGAUCUCUCUGGCUCGCUCAAAUCUCUCUUACCUUCAACGAUUUCUCACUGUUUCUCUUUUAACUCUCUAUGCCUCUCUCCAUCUCUCACUCUCACUCUCCUCUCUUCUCCUUACCGUGUGUAUUUUCUGAGUUUUCAGUGAGCUGGUGAAAAUGCUAUGCCAGUGUAAUUGGGGAUUUUGUGGUGAUUAGUGAAUAAGAAAAGGAAAAAAAAUGUGCGAUGUGUUCUAUGUUGAGAAAAAAAAGAAUCCUGUGGUGCGUAUGUUCUGUGUAUAUGGAUUGGUCAAGAAGAAAAGAAAAUCUCCUGUACCUAUGUGUUUUUGGAAAAAUGGAAAAGAAGACCAAAGAGAAAGGAAAAAAAGGUCUCCCCUAAUCUAUUCCAGUGAAUGGAAAUUAUAUCGAUGGAAUGUGGGGUCCAUGAGUGAGGUGUCUAUUUUGAUUGAGUAGGUUAUUAGGAUAAGGUGUAAAGUUGGUUAGAAUAGAAAUAAAACAAGAUAAAGUAUGUUAGGGAUUAUGUUAAGGGUUGUUAUUUUUUUUUUUUUUGUGAGGUAUAAUUACAUGGAUAAGGGUGUACAAUAAAGUGAGG